rnacentral:rRNA from 1 species
UGGGUAAUCUGCCCUCGAUUCUGGGAUAGCCCGGGGAAAUCCGGAUUAAUACCGGAUAGCCUCUCGAGCUUUCGAGCUCGUGAGAAAAGGUAGCUUCGGCCUCCGAUCGAGGAUGAGCCCGCGGCGGAUUAGCUUGUUGGUGGGGUAAUGGCCUACCAAGGCGACGAUCCGUAGCUGGUCUGAGAGGACGAUCAGCCCACACUGGGACUGAGACACGGCCCAGCUCCGUAGGAG